GAUGAACGCUGGCGGCGUGCCUAAUACAUGCAAGUAGAACGCUGAAGGAAGGAGCUUGCUCUUUCCGGAUGAGUUGCGAACGGGUGAGUAACGCGUAGGUAACCUGCCUGGUAGCGGGGGAUAACUAUUGGAAACGAUAGCUAAUACCGCAUAACAGUAGAUGUUGCAUGAUAUCUACUUAAAAGGUGCAAUUGCACCACUACCAGAUGGACCUGCGUUGUAUUAGCUAGUUGGUAAGGUAACGGCUCACCAAGGCGACGAUACAUAGCCGACCUGAGAGGGUGAUUGGCCACACUGGGACUGAGACACGGCCCAGACUCCUACGGGAGGCAGCAGUAGGGAAUCUUCGGCAAUGGACGGAAGUCUGACCGAGCAACGCCGCGUGAGUGAAGAAGGUUUUCGGAUCGUAAAGCUCUGUUGUAAGAGAAGAACGAGUGUGAGAGUGGAAAGUUCACACUGUGACGGUAUCUUACCAGAAAGGGACGGCUAACUACGUG
rnacentral:rRNA from 1 species